AAUCAUACUGCACAUGUCAGAGAGGGGUUCUGUGUGCUCAUCCAAGUAGCUGUAGUCCAAAGUGAAUUCAUCUCUCCUGAAGAGUACACAGACAGUACACAGCAUUGGAGAUGAGAAUUCAGAAUUAUUCAAUAUUUAGAAUCAAGAAACAUCUGUGAAAAUUACUGUGGUGCUGCAGUUUGGGUGCUGGUAGCCUGAGAGAAAAAAGAAGACCUUGGCUGUGGACACUCUAAACAGCCAGAGGUCGUCAAACUCCCAGUUCAGCGAGGCUGUGGAAGCCCAUGCAGCCUGCACUGUGUGGCCUGGAGAAGGGCUCGCUUGCACACUCCGAGCUGCUUGGACACUUUAAUAAAGACUGCAUGAACAGCA